UCAGAAGGCGUCGUUCACAGAUGGAUAU
rnacentral:piRNA from 1 species